CCUCCAGACCUCCUUGUGUCACCUGUUCCCUGUUCCUCUGAUUACCUGCCCUAUUGUUUCAUGUCCACCUUUGUCUGUAUUUAAGUUUGCCUUCGUCCUUUGUUCCAUGCGGUGUCGUUAUGUCUCUUCCAUGUCCUUGUGAGAUGUCUCUUUUGGAUUUUUGUCCUUGCACUGGAUUCUGUUAGGUUCUGUUUUCAAAUACCCUGUCAACUGGAUUAUCUUGUCACCCUGCACCUCGCCUUCAUCCUCAACAGAUGCUCUGGAUUGAGCCUGAGGGCAGGCAGGAAACCAGGAAUGGAUCAUGGCAGACAUUUCCUAGAAAAAUUGUUUAAGGAGCUCCAGGUGCAGAGAGGUUGUGCACAGAAGCAAAACAGUCUCUAAGGAUUGGACGGACGCAAAAAACAUUUCAGAGAGAAACACACGAGGUCCAUUGUAUAUGCAGACCAAUCCAGACUCUUUGGGGAGAGAAUGUGUGUAAAAGGUUUCUUUUUAAUGUAAAAGACAAGUUUGGUGAAGCAAUAACAGGAUGAUUACUUUUGUUGUUUCAAGUAAACAAGCACAUUCCUAUGUGUGAGUAAGCAAGUGAGAAUGUAAAGUUUUUACUGACACCUAGUGACUUAACUUCGACGUUACAUCUUCACAAAAACGAAAAAAUAGGUAACCUAUUACUGAUAUAUUUUAAGUUCUGCUUUUUUAUUGUAAAAACUUUUGUAUUUUAAACCUUUUUGCUUUAAGACUGCUGAAAAAGAGGCACACUAACAAUUACAACCCAGCAAAUGUUAUUAAGCAAAGCAACAUGAUUUCUUCCUGAAAUAUACCAUAAAGUGGGGCUGCAUGGUGAAGCAGUAGUUAGCACUGCUGCCUUGCAGCAAGCAGGUUCUGGGUUUGAAUCUCUUUCUGCAUGGAGUUUGCAUGUUCUCCCCAUGCAUGUGUAGGUUCUCUCCAGGUUCUCUGGUUUCUUCCCACAGGUUAAUUAGACGGUUGUCUCUCUCAAUUGCCCUUAGGUGUAAAUCAGUGUGUGUAUGGUUGUUUGUCAUGUGUGUCUCUGUGUUGCCCUGUGAUGGACUGGCCACCUGUCCAGGGUGUACCCUGCCUCUCACCUGUAGACCGCUGGAGAUAGGCACCAGCUCUCCCCGCGACCCUGCACAGAAGAAGCGGGUAUAGAAAAUGGAUGGAUAUGUUUACAUUUUAUUGUUUUAAAUUAAAUUUGAGACCACCUCAUGUUUGGGGUAUUAAAUCAGAAUGUGUUGUCUUACUAUGGAAGUGGGCAUUUGAUAGAAUGUAGUAACAAUUGCUAAUAGAGUAAAAUAUUUAUUUUAAAUAUGUUAAUUUGCAAAACUUUACAAAUCUUAAUUUGUAAAGUUUUUUUGUACAAUCUAAAAUUAUAACACUAUACCAUUAUAACAUCUAACAUUUCAACACCUUAACAUGUAAUAUUGCAACAUCUAACACUGUAACAUUGCCCUGGCUUUUCAUCCAAUUUAGAACUGAUUGUAAGGUGCUUUUGCUGAUGUUCUCUUAAUUGACUUCGCCCACCCUAUUUAUAGGAUCUGAUUUUGUUCUUCAGGCCACACAGGUCCUCUGGAAAGGGUAUUCUGUUCAUACCUAAAGUUAUGGCUAAAACAUAAGGUUUGGUGUCUUUUGCCCAUUAUGGCCCUCAUCUGAGGAACACCCUUCCUGAGGACAUGAGAGCAACAGAGAGUUUAGAUGAGUUUGAAAAAAAAAAAAGUAAGUAAGAAUCUAUUCAGUCUAGCUUUUACAUUACGUUUAUAGCUAUUUGUUGCAUGUGAAAGUUUAUCUUUUUUUUUUUACCAAGGAUACUAAUUUUAGCAACUAUUAUAUUGUUGAUGUAUACCUUAUUGCUAAUUAAAUUAUUGCGUAAUCUUGAUUAGUACAGUCAUAUGGCUGUAUGAAAAGUGAUUUGUAAAUAUUAAUUGGUUAAUUCAUUCAUUGGUUGAUUGAUCGGUUGUAACACUUUAGCAUUGUAAGAUGUAACACUGUAAAUUUGUAACACUUAACAUUGCAACUGUAUAAUGUACUAUUGUAGCAUUCUAACAUGUUACAUUUACUGUGACCCAGUCAUACCGGCAGUGUCUGUGUGAAUGGAACUUGUUUGUUCUUGACCCAGUUAAUUUCCCCAAACCUCGACAAAUUUCCUGUAAGCUACUGUUUAAGUAGCAAAAUUACAAAACAUAUUGGGGAUUGUAAAGAGGAUGCACAUAUAAAUGCAUUGAGUGAGAGAUAAAAUCUUCAGUCAGGAAGUACGGCACUUCUUUUUUGUGCUGGGAGAUACAUGACUGAAAGUCAGACAUUUAUGAGACAGAAAAUACCUCUUCAGGGUGUGAACUAUGUAGCUUUGAAAACAAUGUGCAUGCGCUUUAAAGACCUUAGCCCACAAAGUAAAACUAACUCUCCCCAUAGCAUCACACCUUCUUUAGAAGUAGAAACAAUUAAUAUGCACUGUUGGGCUAUUUCAGGCGUUUUUAGAAUAAUUACAGACAUGGUGAUUACAAAAUUUGUGGGAUAGUGGGAUCUACAUCUGCCCUCAAAGAGACACCAGUGGGCAUAAUUAAAAAUGCUUAUUUAUUAAUGAAACCUUAAAUUUUUGCAAACAUUGGCUGGAUUUUGUUUCACUUUGGAUAGCAUAAACUCUAGUUUUCAGAUUAAGGUAUUUUUACAGACCAUUGCAAAGGACAGAAAUAUAAAACACGUGUUUAAUUUUAUUGUCAGUCUUUCCCAUCAGAAUAGUGGGCGUGGCUAUCAUUAUAAAGAAUGUGAUUGGUCUGCAGUUAAACUGCUGUGCAGGUUAACUAAUCAAAUGUAAGAGUGAAUUUGACGAGCAGUAGACAUUUAAAUUAUUUCCUGAUGGACUGACAAAUAAUUAAAUAAAUACUAAAAAAUAUAUAUACUUGA